GGAGGGAUGGCGGAGUGGUUGAUCGCACCGGUCUUGAAAACCGGCGGGCCGCAAGGUCUCGGGGGUUCGAAUCCCUCUCCCUCCGCCA
rnacentral:tRNA from 2 species